rnacentral:rRNA from 1 species
UACAGAGGUCUCGAGCGUUGUUCGGAUUCAUUGGGCGUAAAGGGUGCGUAGGCGGUCUGUCGCGUCGGUUGUGAAACCCAAGGCUCAACCUUGGGCCUGCAAUCGAUACGGGCAGACUAGAGUACUGCAGGGGAGACUGGAAUUCCUGGUGUAGCGGUGGAAUGCGCAGAUAUCAGGAGGAACACCGGUGGCGAAGGCGGGUCUCUGGGCAGUAACUGACGCUGGAGGAGCGAAAGCGUGGGGAGCGAACGG